UGAUUAAUAUUCUAUAUUUCAUAUUCACAGAUGUGCUGCCACUAAUAGCUCUUCAUGAAUGUGGAUGAGGAAUGCAUGUCCGAUAUCUCCUUCCACAUAGCACACACCCCACAUACUCAUGAGGUUGGAAGACGACACAGCUUGGCUGACUGUGAAUGGUUGAGCUAUGGUCUACUAGUUAUUAGAGCCUCUUCU
rnacentral:lncRNA from 14 species